CCCAGGGUUCCCCGUUGGCUUCCCUUCCAUCUAAAGGCCUCCCCCAAGUUUCGGGCCAAAAAGCUGAAAUAAAGAACGAAGUCAAUAAUAAUAUGAAGUGUAUGAGAAAUAGCUGGAAAAUUCAUCAUCCAUGACUUGAAGAAAUUGACGUUUUACAAGUUAUAUUUUCGGUGAAGAGGCACUUUCAAGAUCCUUCUCUGAGACCUGCACCAAUAAGACUAUACCAAUGUUCAGUUGAAACAUCAGACACUGUUCUGGUUAUGAUGGACACCACAGUGAAAGAGACCUGGUCCCUGCCUUGAGGAAACCCAACUGCUGGUAGAGAGCUCAGAGUAAUGAUUAGGAUGCAAUAUGAGGGAUGCAGUAAUUGGGAUCUACUUCUGGGAACCGUCACAGCCUGAGAAAGAUGGCAUGCCCUGAAUGGAAUUCACAGAGAAUUAUUUUAAGUAAAAGAAGUUUAAAGUUA
rnacentral:lncRNA from 10 species